rnacentral:tRNA from 1 species
GGCCCAUUCGUCCAGUCCGGCCCAGGACGCCGCGCGUCUCGGCGCGGAAACCGGCGGUUCAAAUCCCCGAUGGGCUA